UGGGGAAUAUUGGACAAUGGGCGCAAGCCUGAUCCAGCAAUACCGCGUGUGUGAAGAAGGCCCUAGGGUUGUAAAGCACUUUCAAUUGGGAGGAAAACCUGCCGGUCAAUACCCGGCAGCUUGACAUUACCUUUAGAAGAAGCACCGGCUAACUCCGUGCCAGCAGCCGCGGUAAUACGGAGGGUGCAAGCGUUAAUCGGAAUUACUGGGCGUAAAGCGUGCGUAGGCGGUUCGUUAAGUCAGAUGUGAAAGCCCCGGGCUUAACCUGGGAACUGCAUUUGAAACUGGCGGACUUGAGUUGAGUAGAGGGGAGUGGAAUUUCAGGUGUAGCGGUGAAAUGCGUAGAUAUCUGAAGGAACACCAGUGGCGAAGGCGACUCCCUGGACUCAAACUGACGCUGAGGUACGAAAGCGUGGGUAGCAAACA
rnacentral:rRNA from 1 species